GUUUGACGGUGGUUGUUGUGUUUGUUGUUGGAAACGAUGGUGGUUGGGUUGAUGGCGGAGAGAAGAGAAAAGGGAUGUCGGUGUUGUAUUUGUGGUUUGCUCGGAUUCGUCGGAGCUGGAGCUCCUCACCGGAGCAACAACGAAGAUGAAGAGGUCGGGUUGUUUGGUUGUUUAAUCGGAGAAGCUAGUUGUUGGUAUUUGCAUGGUGGUUG
rnacentral:lncRNA from 1 species